CCCGUUCGAUCUCCGGUCUCUGUGGCUCAGCUGGGGAGUGGUGACGCACGUGGGGUUGAAUUGGUCAUGGCUGGACAUUUAGUGCUGCAUCUCGCAAUAAUAAGGCAUCAACAGAAAAACUGAAACCUUUGAUUCAAAGUUACUGAAGUGUGCCUAGCUCGACUCUAGAGCAUAUGAACUUUUUUGUUUUCUUUGACAAGGCCAAUCAACCUCUGUAAAGACCCCUCUCCCCCUCCCCUUGUUAAACGAUAAACAGGGUUGGAUGACCACCCUAGAUUCAGCCAGGAUCCUACAAGACCUAAUCUCAGCAGCUCUGCGACGAGGCCAAAACUAGCCGCCAAGACACAAAGACAAUCUACAAAAACAAGAAGACAUAACCAAAUCCACUACUCCAAAAAAAAGCAGCAACCGAAUCAGGAGUUGAGGAAAAUUUGUUCUUAUCCACCAAAGCUCCAACGCUGAAGAACCAAACCCUAACUCUAAGAGACCUAACUACCGUGCCGCGACACAUAUCAGUGUCACCGCCCCGUUUUCUGCCAUCAGAACGGCGCGCGUAGGAGCAUGGGACCCAUGGCAGCGUUUUUUUGUGAUUACUCUGGCCAAUCGGUUCACAAGAAAAAUCAAAAAGGAAAAAAACAAAGAAAGCAAUAAAAAGAAAUCAAUGCAAGUUACUACAUAUUCAAGUUCUUUAAACGGUACAUACAAAAUUCCAUAAAAAUUCAUAAAAGCAUUGAUAUUUAUAUUCUUUCAAGAUUGUUAGGUAGAAUUUCUAUUUUCUCACGGGUGUUUAUUUCCUUUUUUUCUUGUUAUUUUCCUUAUGAAUCUUUCUUUUCUUUCUUUGCAAAUUAAUGUUGAGUUCCCUAAAUGCCGUUUUUAUAUUUCUCUAAAAUUUUAAUUCGAGUUCCUUGGUAUUUGUUUCUUCCAAUUAAGCGACUUUUGCGCCGGUUGUGCCCGGAUACUUUUUUUUUUAUGUUCAUAAGAAACCUUAGAAGUUUUGAUUCUGUUCAAUCUCCUCUUCUUAUUUUUUUUUAUGUACUAGACUAUUGCUUGAGCAGAAUUGCUACUCUCCGUGGUUCGCUUUUCUUCUCGAAAAAACGCAAAAGCUUGCGUCUCGAUGCACUCGGUAGUUCAUGAUCAAACCUAAACAGGUUAAAUGCACUUGGAGAAAGAAUAUAAUUAUUCCUUUAGACUUUAGCAAUAUUGGCUCAUGAAUAAUUAUUCUCGCCGGCACACAGAAUCCGGGCCGAGCCGGGCCUGCCCAUGAUGAUGAACUAACCUGUUUAAUCCGGAGCGUUGAUAUAUAGGUUGGGACGACG
rnacentral:lncRNA from 1 species